GGAGAGAUGGCUCAGUGGUUAAGAGCACUGGUUGCUCCUCCAGAGAACCUGGGCUCAAUUCCCAGCACCC
rnacentral:tRNA from 1 species